rnacentral:rRNA from 1 species
AUUGAACGCUGGCGGCAGGCCUAACACAUGCAAGUCGAGCGAGCGGCGGACGGGUGAGUAAUGUCUGGGAAACUGCCUGAUGGAGGGGGAUAACUACUGGAAACGGUAGCUAAUACCGCAUACCAUCGGAUGUGCCCAGAUGGGAUUAGCUAGUAGGUGAGGUAAAGGCUCACCUAGGCGACGAUCCCUAGCUGGUCUGAGAGGAUGACCAGCCCCACUGGAACGGAGACACGGUCCAGACUCCUACGGGAGGCAGCAGUGGGGAAUAUUGCACAAUGGGGGCAAGCCUGAUGCAGCCAUGCCGCGUGUAUGUAGAAGGCCUUCGGGUUUUAAAGUACUUUCAGCGGGGAGGCGUUACCCGCAGAGGAAGCACCGGCUAACUCCGUGCCAGCAGCCGCGGUAAUAC